rnacentral:rRNA from 1 species
GAUGAACGCUGACAGAAUGCUUAACACAUGCAAGUCUACUUGAUUUAUGGUUUCGGCCGUAAUGAUGGUGGCGGACGGGUGAGUAACGCGUAAAGAAUCUGCCCUUUAGACUGGGAUAACAGUUGGAAACGACUGCUAAUACCGGAUAUUAUGGAACCAUCGCAUGAUGGAAUCAUGAAAGCUAUAUGCGCUAGAGGAGGACUUUGCGUCCCAUUAGCUAGUUGGUGAGGUAACGGCUCACCAAGGCGACGAUGGGUAGCCGGCCUGAGAGGGUGAUCGGCCACAAGGGAACUGAGACACGGUCCUUACUCCUACGGGAGGCAGCAGUGGGGAAUAUUGGACAAUGGGCCACAAGCCUGAUCCAGCAAUUCUGUGUGCACGAUGAAGGUCUUCGGAUUGUAAAGUGCUUUCAGUAGGGAAGAAUAAAUGACGGUACCUACAGAAGAAGCGACGGCUAAAUAUGUG